rnacentral:rRNA from 1 species
ACGUGCCUUAGGACCAGCUUAAAUAGGGCGUUUUGAUCCCUUUUUACUGCUAAAUCCUGCUUAUAGAACUUGUUUCAUAGUUCUUUCCGUGAUUAUUUCUAAUUUAGAAAAUGUAGCCCAUUUCUUCCAUCUCAGUUAGCUACACCUUGACCUGACUUGUUAGCUGUAGUUGGCUAUUUUGCUUACUUUUGUGCCUUCAUAGGGUAGGCUGGUGACGGCGGUAUAUAGGCGGUAUUGGCAAGGGAUGGUAGGGUGAAUCGUGGAUUAUCGAUUAUAGAACAGGCUCCUCUAGGUGGGUUUAGGGCACCGCCAAGUCCUUAGAGUUUUAAGCGUUUUGCUUGUAGUUCUCUGGCGGAUAUUUUUGUAUGUUAAAUAUCUGGAUUUAAGGCUAAGCAU